rnacentral:rRNA from 1 species
UACGGAGGGUGCGAGCGUUGUCCGGAAUCACUGGGCUUAAAGGGCGCGUAGGCGGCAUGUCCAGUCCGGGGUGAAAUCUUUCGGCUCAACCGGAAAAGGGCCCUGGAUACUGACGUGCUGGAGGAAGGUAGGGGCAGGUGGAACUUCCGGUGGAGCGGUGAAAUGCGUUGAUAUCGGAAGGAACGCCGGUGGCGAAAGCGACCUGCUGGACCUUUACUGACGCUGAGGCGCGAAAGCCAGGGGAGCAAAC